rnacentral:rRNA from 1 species
UACGUAGGGUGCGAGCGUUGUCCGGAAUUAUUGGGCGUAAAGAGCUUGUAGGCGGUUUGUCGCGUCUGCUGUGAAAAUCCGGGGCUCAACCCCGGACUUGCAGUGGGUACGGGCAGACUGGAGUCUGGUAGGGGAACACGGAAUUCCUGGUGUAGCGGUGAAAUGCGCAGAUAUCAGGAGGAACACCGAUGGCGAAGGCAGUGUUCUGGGCCAGUACUGACGCUGAGGAGCGAAAGCGUGGGGAGCAAACAGG